AUUGAACGCUGGCGGCAUGCCUUACACAUGCAAGUCGAGCGGCAGCGCGGGGCAACCCUGGCGGCGAGCGGCGAACGGGUGAGUAAUGCAUCGGAACGUGUCCUCUUGUGGGGGAUAACCAGUCGAAAGACUGGCUAAUACCGCAUGAGAUCGAGAGAUGAAAGCGGGGGACCGCAAGGCCUCGCGCGAGAGGAGCGGCCGAUGCCCGAUAGCUAGUUGGUGGGGUAAUGGCCUACCAAGGCGACGAUCGGUAGCUGGUCUGAGAGGACGACCAGCCACACUGGGACUGAGACACGGCCCAGACUCCACGGGAGGCAGCAGU
rnacentral:rRNA from 1 species